UGGAGCGUAUCGGACAGCAUCGGAAGCGUUGUUUUUUUGCUUUGGGAUCAGAGGGUCGAAGGUUCGAAUCCUUUCGCUCCGACCA
rnacentral:tRNA from 1 species